GGGGUUGUGGUUCAGUGGUAGAUCACCCCCCUAGCACAUGUGAGGUGCUGGGUUUGAUCCCCAGCACUACA
rnacentral:tRNA from 1 species